AGUACAGUAGAGGUNGGCGGAAUUCGUGGUGUAGCGGUGAAAUGCUUAGAUAUCACGAAGAACUCCGAUUGCGAAGGCAGCUCACUGGACUGCAACUGACACUGAUGCUCGAAAGUGUGGGUAUCAAACAGGAUUAGAUACCCUGGUAGUCCACACAGUAAACGAUGAAUACUCGCUGUUUGCGAUAUACAGUAAGCGGCCAAGCGAAAGCAUUAAGUAUUCCACCUGGGGAGUACGCCGGCAACGGUGAAACUCAAAGGAAUUGACGGGGGCCCGCACAAGCGGAGGAACAUGUGGUUUAAUUCGAUGAUACGCGAGGAACCUUACCCGGGCUUAAAUUGCAGUGGAAUGAUAUGGAAACAUGUCAGUGAGCAAUCACCGCUGUGAAGGUGCUGCAUGGUUGUCGUCAGCUCGUGCCGUGAGGUGUCGGCUUAAGUGCCAUAACGAGCGCAACCCUUAUCUUCAGUUACUAACAGGUCAUGCUGAGGACUCUGGAGAGACUGCCGUCGUAAGAUGUGAGGAAGGUGGGGAUGACGUCAAAUCAGCACGGCCCUUACGUCCGGGGCUACACACGUGUUACAAUGGGGGGUACAGAAGGCAGCUAGCGGGUGACCGUAUGCUAAUCCCAAAAUCCUCUCUCAGUUCGGAUCGAAGUCUGCAACCCGACUUCGUGAAGCUGGAUUCGCUAGUAAUCGCGCAUCAGCCACGGCGCGGUGAAUACGUUCCCGGGCCUUGUACACACCGCCCGUCAAGCCAUGGGAGCCGGGGGUACCUGAAGUACGUAACCGCAAGGAUCGUCCUAGGGUAAAACUGGUGACUGGGGCUAAGUCGUAACAAGGUAACCA
rnacentral:rRNA from 1 species